rnacentral:lncRNA from 1 species
GAGGGGAGGAGAAGCAAAAUGGCUGCUGACGUAUACCCGAGUUUUAUUUUCCAGCCACAAGUAGCCUUGAUUUCAUAAGGGUGUGCCCAGCUACCCCUAAAGCAGGGAAUCUUUUGCCUGUGUUGAGACUCUCAAGAACUUCGCUGUAUUUUACCGGUGAAAGAAGUCCCAGGAUCAGUCUCCAGAGGAGGGCUGUGUUACUCAACAUUCAACCACUAUAGCAAGCCCCAGAGGUGAUCAGUUUAUAAAGAGGAAAGGUUUCGCUGGCUCGUGGAUUCACAAAUUUCAGCCAUGUUCAGGUGGGAAGGCUGAAGGAUCACUGAAGGAGGAGAUGCUGAAGCCGUUCAAUUCACAGUGAGGGGACAAAAAGAAAGGAAGACAGGCUUAAGUGCUCACUUAUCCUCUUAAAUGGUGCACUUCCAGGGGCCCAAAGCCUCAUCGAAGGCCCCACUACUCAAAGGCUUCCCUGCCUCCCACCCGAGCCCUCCCAAAGACAGAAUAUUUAAUACUCAGAACUUUAUACCAAAACGUAAGAAGGAACUAGAGCUGACCAAGAGGAGCAGGAAGCACGGUUCACUGGAUCCACUGUGAAAUGGGCUAACGCGGAGAUAAGUCAGAAGGCCUCCUGGGAUCAACCAAGGGUUUGUCCCUUUGGACUUUUCUCCUGCCACACUCUGUAUCCAGGGAAAACAAGAGGCGACUUGCCUAGAAACAGCUCUGUCAACAGUGCCCGCCACCUCCACCUCCUCUGCUGGAAACGGAACAGGUAAAAGCAUCAGUGAGCAGCUGGACCUGUCACGUGACCACAGCACCCGGUGGAGACAAGUGGUGACAAUCAGUCACAUAGGGGCAGUGCCCCAAGCCCCUCCACAGGCAGUGAGGCAUCCCUAACAUCUUAGACCAAGCCAGUAGAAAGCAUCUGCUGUCAGACCCCAACCCACCGCAAAAUGAGCUGUAACACUUCCUGGGGAAGAGAAUUCUCUCUUCCCUUUGCUGCUGGAAGCUGUCCGGGCCAACCAACCACACUCACUGGUUCCUAGCCACACACCCUCCCCCAGGGCUGGCUGUUUUGCAGCAUCUCACAGCUUCCGACCUACUCCAGAGUUGCUUUGGCGGCUUGAGCUGACUGCAGUGCCUAGCUGAGUAACAGCAGCCACAGAAGAGAGCAGCAACUGCCUCAAUCCAACUUCCCUCUCCCUUCGGAGAGUGCAACUCCUUGACUGAUCCAGCUGGGCCAGAGCCUUCCCCCACCCCCAUCUCCGUGGUUAGCAUCCAGUAUACAGACUGGCAAAUAUAUAUAU